rnacentral:rRNA from 1 species
GCCCUUGAGUUUGAUCAUGGCUCAGGAUGAACGCUGGCGGCGUGCCUAAUACAUGCAAGUCGAGCGAACAGAUGAGAAGCUUGCUUCUCUGAUGUUAGCGGCGGACGGGUGAGUAACACGUGGGUAACCUACCUAUAAGACUGGGAUAACUCCGGGAAACCGGGGCUAAUACCGGAUAAUAUAUUGAACCGCAUGGUUCAAUGUUGAAGGACGGUUUCGGCUGUCACUUAUAGAUGGACCCGCGCCGUAUUAGCUAGUUGGUAAGGUAACGGCUUACCAAGGCAACGAUACGUAGCCGACCUGAGAGGGUGAUCGGCCACACUGGAACUGAGACACGGUCCAGACUCCUACGGGAGGCAGCAGUAGGGAAUCUUCCGCAAUGGGCGAAAGCCUGACGGAGCAACGCCGCGUGAGUGAUGAAGGUCUUAGGAUCGUAAAACUCUGUUGUUAGGGAAGAACAAAUUUGUUAGUAACUGAACAAGUCUUGACGGUACCUAACCAGAAAGCCACGGCUAACUACGUGCCAGCAGCCGCGGUAAUACGUAGGUGGCAAGCAUUAUCCGGAAUUAUUGGGCGUAAAGCGCGCGUAGGCGGUUUCUUAAGUCUGAUGUGAAAGCCCACGGCUCAACCGUGGAGGGUCAUUGGAAACUGGGGAACCUGAGUGCAGAAGAGGAGAGUGGAAUUCCAUGUGUAGCGGGGAAUAAGGGC